rnacentral:lncRNA from 1 species
UGGCUCACGCCUGUAAUCUCAGCACUUUGGGAGGCCGAGGUGGGUGGAUCACCUGAGGUCAGGAGUUCGAGACUAGCCUGGGCAACGUGGUGAAACCCUAUCCUCACUAAAAAUAAAAAAAUUAGCUGGGCAUGGUGGCAGGUGCCUGUAAUCCCAGCUACUCGGGAGGCUGAGACAGGAGAAUCACUUGAACCCAGGAGGCAGAAGCUGCAGUGAGCCGAGAUCACCCCACUGCACCCCAGCCUGGGCGACAGACUGAGACUCUGUCUCACAAAAAAAAAAGAAAAGAAAAAGUCAGUGUGCAUCCCCUCUGACACCCAGCAACUUCACAUCUUGGAAUUUAUGCUGCAGGAGAAUUAUCACAAGUGCACAAGGAUAUAUGGUGAGAUAGUUAUUAUUAUCAUUUUAAAAGAUAGGGUCUCACUGUGUCACCCAGGCUGGAGUGCAGUGAAGUGAUCACAGCUCACUGCAGCCUUGACCUCCUGGACUCGAGUGAUCCUCGUGCCUCAGCCUCCCCAGUAGCUGGGAUUACAGGUGUGAGCCACCAUGCCUGGCAUCCCCCUUUUUUUAAAAAAUGGUUUUAAUUAUGAAAAGAAUAUGGGCUCGUUGUUUUGUGUGGUUUUUUAAAAGUUUAAAAAAUGUGUAGUGUGUCAUUUAGAAGGUGAAAAGCCCUUACCCCAUCCCACCUCCCCAGAUCGCUUGAAGUCAGGAGUUCCAGACCAGCCUGGCCAACGUGGUGAAACCCCAUCUGUACUAAAAAUACAAAAAAAAAAAAAAAAGCCUGUCAUGGUGGUGUGGUGUGCACUGGUAAUCCCAGUUAUUUGGGAGGCUGAGGCAGCAGAAUCACUUGAAUCCAGGAGGCAGAGGUUGCAGUGAGCUGAGAUUGUGCCACUGCACUCCAUCCUGGGUGACAGAGUGAGACUCUGUCUCAAAAAAAAAAAAAAGAAAAAAUGCGCACACACACACAAACACAUCGUGCAGACCUAGCCUUCUGCCAA